UACGAAGGGGGCUAGCGUUGUUCGGAUUUACUGGGCGUAAAGCGCACGUAGGCGGAUCGUUAAGUCGGGGGUGAAAUCCUGGGGCUCAACCCCAGAACUGCCUUCGAUACUGGCGAUCUCGAGUCCGGAAGAGGUGAGUGGAACUCCUAGUGUAGAGGUGGAAUUCGUAGAUAUUCGCAAGAACACCAGUGGCGAAGGCGGGCUCACUGGGCCGGUACUGACGCUGAGGUGCGAAAGCGUGGGGAG
rnacentral:rRNA from 1 species